CCUACGGGAGGCAGCAGUGGGGAAUAUUGCACAAUGGGGGAAACCCUGAUGCAGCGACGCCGCGUGAGUGAAGAAGUAUUUCGGUAUGUAAAGCUCUAUCAGCAGGCACGAGCCAAGACGGUACCUGACUAAGAAGCCCCGGCUAACUACGGGCCAGCAGCCGCGGUAAUACGUAGGGGGCAAGCGUUAUCCGGAAUCACUGGGUGUAAAGGGAGCGUAGACGGCUGAGCAAGCCUGAAGUGAAAGGCGGGGGCCCAACCCCCGUACUGCUUUGGGAACUGUACGGCUGGAGUGCAGGAGAGGUAAGUGGAACUCCAUGUGUAGCGGUGAAAUGCGUAGAGAUAUGGAAGAACACCAGUGGCGAAAGCGGCUCUCUGGUCUGUAACUGACGCUGAGGUUCGAAAGCGUGGGUAGCAAACAGGAUUAGAUACCCGUGUAGUC
rnacentral:rRNA from 1 species